GCCAGGCAUGGUGGCACACGCCUGUAAUCCCAGUGGCUGGUAGGCUGAGACAGGAGGAUCGUGAGUUAAGCAACUCAGUGAUACCCUGUCUCUA
rnacentral:sRNA from 1 species